rnacentral:rRNA from 3 species
AGGCAGCAGGCGCGCAAAUUACCCAAUCCCGAUACGGGGAGGUAGUGACAAUAAAUACUGAUACGGGGCUCUUUUGGGUCUCGUAAUUGGAAUGAGAACAAUUUAAAUCCCUUAACGAGGAACAAUUGGAGGGCAAGUCUGGUGCCAGCAGCCGCGGUAAUUCCAGCUCCAAUAGCGUAUAUUAAAGUUGUUGCAGUUAAAAAGCUCGUAGUUGAACCUUGGGUCUGGCUGGCCGGUCCGCCUCACCGCGAGUACUGGUCCGGCUGGACCUUUCCUUCUGGGGAACCCCAUGGCCUUCACUGGCUGUGGGGGGAACCAGGACUUUUACUGUGAAAAAAUUAGAGUGUUCAAAGCAGGCCUUUGCUCGAAUACAUUAGCAUGGAAUAAUAGAAUAGGACGUGCGGUUCUAUUUUGUUGGUUUCUAGGACCGCCGUAAUGAUUAAUAGGGAUAGUCGGGGGCGUCAGUAUUCAGCUGUCAGAGGUGAAAUUCUUGGAUUUGCUGAAGACUAACUACUGCGAAAGCAUUCGCCAAGGAUGUUUUCAUUAAUCAGGGAACGAAAGUUAGGGGAUCGAAGACGAUCAGAUACCGUCGUAGUCUUAACCAUAAACUAUGCCGACUAGGGAUCGGACGGGACUCUAUGAUGACCCGUUCGGCACCUUACGAGAAAUCAAAGUUUUUGGGUUCU